UGCUGCAGCUUACCUUUCCUGCUGCAGCUUCCCAACAAUAACAUGCCUCAUGCAAGAGGGGAAGGGUCUUGACAGGAGGCUGCUGUCUCGGAGCUAUUUCCGAAGCUCCGCCCCCGUGCCCGUCCGAAGCCCCGCCCCCUUGCAACACGAAGAGAUAUCUACACAAGAACAAGGAAUGUAUGAAGAAGAACAAACACUACUUUUUUGUUUUAUUACCAUUUAUUUUUUCUGAACAAUACAAAAUAUAACUGUUUAAUUUUCUUCAAUAAAAUGUUAAAUUUAGAA